GACGAACCGAGCGAACGUUGUUCGGAAUCACUGGGCUUAAAGGGCGCGUAGGCGGAUCAGCAAGUCCGGGGUGAAAUCUUUCGGCUCAACCGGAAAAGGGCCUUGGAUACUGCUGGUCUGGAGGGAGGUAGGGGCAGCUGGAACUUCCGGUAGAGCGGUGAAAUGCGUUGAUAUCGGAAGGAACUCCGGUGGCGAAGGCGAGCUGCUGGACCUCUUCUGACGCUGAGGCGCGAAAGCUAGGGGAGCGAACAGG
rnacentral:rRNA from 1 species